ACAGCAAUGACAUUCAGUCUUGAACUUUACUGCUUCACACAAAAAUUUGACCAAGAAAUUUGACUCAAAUAUGGGAUCCCCUUGACUUUUGAAGGGAUUCAGACUUGGGGUUUUGGAAAAGCCCAAGUGGAAGAUUCAAAUCCAGCUUUGCAUUCCUGCAUGCCCAGUCUUUGGAUGCAGUAACAUCUAUUUUCAGUUCAAGCAAGAUAUGUGGUAUUUGUGGAUACUCCACUCUGAGACACAUUUGGGAAGGAACCUUUCAAUGUGAAUAAGGAACCCUGUUUUUCCAUUUCAGUAUUGAAGAUGGAACAAGCCUAUUUAUUAUCUUUAUUACAUGCUGUAUUUAUAAAUUUUUGAAAGCAGUGGGAAUAUAUUUGCAUUUUGGAGAAAGUCUUCCAGAAAAGAAUUUUUUGGAACACGGCUAAAUGAUGUGAGAAGUUUUUACAGAGGCCAAGAGGCCCUUCUUUUUGUUCAUGUGAAUAUUCAGUAGUAGAAACAUUCCCUGUUAAGCUAAAUGAACUUUCAGUAAACUAAGGAAACAACAUAAGCAAGAGAAUGAAAAUCUUGCAGUCAUCUGAAAUCUACAAAGGUACACAAAAUGUUUAUUUUACUUAUAAAAAGCACACCCUUUGGCUGAGAAAUGUCUACAAGCAUCUGUGUGUGUAAAGCAUCUUAAUGAACAGAGCAAAAGCAAAUUCUGUAUUUUUGAGACUGCUUUUGCUGAACACUGUAAACGUGAGAUGGUUCUGUAGUAUUUCCUUUUUGAUUGGAAAAGGCACCACAAGAUGGCACUUUCUGAAGAGAAUAUAUUUAAAUAUAUUUAAUAAUUAAAUGAACAAAGAAUCAUCAUUUUAUAAAGGUCUGUUAUUGAACAUAUGGUGGGUAGGAAUGGAAAAUGCAACAGAGACCAAGUAAUAACAUGGGAAAACAUAGUGUAAUCUUUGGCAUUUAGAGAUAUGCAAUCCAUGAGUGCAAAACAUUUAUAAACAUGGUUAGCUUUGUGACUAAUCCAGUGAAUAUACUGACAUGUAUACAUUACAUACUUGUAACCAAAGUCAUGCCUUAAAAUCUAUUUUUGGCAUCUACUUAGCAGAUUUGGGCAUAAGCUACUGAGCCACCACAAACUAUGCUGAAGACAAUGAUAGCUGCAAAAUACAAAUACAUCCCGGUUCCUUUAAAUAGGAGAUCAAAAUUGAAGUUUAUUGAAUGAAUAUGGAUUAAAAUUUUAAAAAUAUGAAAAUUCUGAGGAUACAUUAUAUCUUGACUGGCUAGGAUGUUUAAAUGAGAAUAAAGAUUUUCCAAGCUACAGCAAAUUUUCUCUCUGAAUAAUGUAUCUCUAUGUGCAUGCAAACAUACACAUACACCUCAUACUUUGUAUGCACACAGUGUUAAUAUGUACUCAAAUACACACUUCUCCUUCAAAGGCAUUUAUUUUUCCACCUUUUUAUCUUUGAAUGACUGUUAGUAGUAUUCAUGACUCAAGUUAUGUUUUAAAAAUACUGUGACUUUUAUUUUAAAGUAGUACUUGUAAACUAAUCACUUUCCCUAGCAAAACGUCUUACCAAGAGAAUUAUAUGUGCUAGAUGUGCCUUAAUUCAUUACAAUUUAAAUUCACUAACUUCAGCAUUAGGUGAUCCAUAAGAAUUUACUUCAUUUCAUGUAUUCUGAUUGAAAAUACCUACUUUGUUGUUGUUUUUGUUUUUAGUUCUUAUAUACAGACUGAAUACAAAAUGUCCAAAGUCUGUUUUCAUUCACAUAAUGUGUAUGUACUGGCUUUCUUCAGGGAAAGUAGAGGGAAAGUCUCCUGCCUCUAUGUAACAGAACAGAGAGGGUUUUGGCAGCAGGAAGAGGCAGUGGCCAAUAGGUCAAAACUGCAUGGCACUCAUUUGCAUGGGAAGCUCUGUUGGGGUGAAAGUAAAGACAUCUGCAUUUCCCAAAUGCUGCUGGCCACAGGCUGCUGAGCCUUCUGAUGCCUCUUCAGCAAAACAGAUAUUUACCAGUAUGGUUGUUAGCUUGUCUCAUGCCAGCAAUGGUGGUAAUAUAUCUGUCUCCGGAGAAGGAACGGUCCUGCUCCUAUGACAUGUCAGGCAGAUUCAGACCACCAGUCUCCAGGGCUGCUGACUGGAGCUGGAGCUUCAGCAGUUCUCAGAGUGGGCUGUCCUGUGGUAGGUUUCUGAAAAGCAUGAACGUCCUGGCUAACAAGCUCCAGCACUCCUCAGUAUCUCAUGUGGCAAGCUGUUACAGAAGCCAGGAAUGCUGGAGAGCAAGGUGUGUUUCAGAAACAUGGACAUACUCCUUGACUGUAUGCUGGGAGCUGCCAAGGAUGCACCACAGACAGUGCCCAAGCUUGUGUGUUACCCUGCUGCCAGAGACAGAACACUUCCUUCUGUAGGCUACUGGUUUGUCCAUCACACAGCUGUGCUCUUGUGGAGGUGCAGAAAGAUUCUGCUCUAUGAAGAAUUUCUGUCAAGUAUUGAAAUGCACUGUGAAGUGGUUGCGUUUGCCCAGGAGGUUCCCUGAACAUCUGCAGGAACUUUUCUGGAUUUGAUGCGGCCAGUACCAUCACAAAGUUGUCCCAGAGACAGCUAGAUAUCUGUACACAAAUAGAGAACUACAUCUUCCAUAAAACCCGAGUCAACAUUGAAGGCACUCCUCAGUGGAAAAAGUGCUCUGCAAAGGAGUUGACACAGUCAGGAAGCACUCACUAGUCAAAGCACAGAAGCAAGCAAAAAUUUCACCAAAUAAAUGGGUACUCUCCAAACACCUGAGCACUCCCCUGGAAUGUGAACACCCCUGAGCAUCUGAGCAGAAGAGCAGAGCUUCUGUCCCCCAAGCCAAUCAGAGCCCUCACUGCAAGCAACACCUUUCUCAGAUACAGAUAUGCUCAAGGAAAGCACAGAAGGGCAUAUGUACUUUCUAGCAUAUGAAUGGUUCCACUAAAAUCAGUGGUGUUUAAAGUUAAUCAUAGUCUAAAGUGGUAUUGCUGGAUCAAAAGUUAAGCCAAGGAUUUGUCAGUUCAAAUAUGUAAGCUAAUCUCCACUACCUCAGUAUCUCAGGAAAUAAGAAAUGAUUUAUCUGCAAAGACAAUGAUCACACGAAGUCAAAUUUAAAAUAUAGACAAGAGAGUGUAAAAAAGCAAUCCACUGAAGAAUGUUCACCACGUAAAAUUGAAGACAAGUUUUGAAUGCAUCUAUGAACACAGACAUCAUUUUAUUUUAUUUUUUCUUAAGCACAAUGCAAAAUUCACUGCAGUUUUAUAAAAUGACUGUAAUUUGUAGAGUGAAAUACUGUUUUGGCUAGUUUAACUGUUGGUUUCAAAACCAAUUUCAUAACCAAGUCAAAUAGAAGUUUUCUGCAACUACAUGUAAAUGAAUAAAUUCAUAACUUAAAAAUAAAUAAAUAAAUAAAGCGACAAUGGCAGCUUAGCAAUCAGAAGUGAUUCCCACACUAAACAUUAUAUUCCCAACUAUGUUUCUAUAAUGUGUCUAUUCAAAAAACAAAUAUACAUAGAAUCCAAAACAACAUGGUUAUGCUUUUGCCACAAGCUAUCCAACUAAUAAAAAUCUACAAACAAAACAAUACAAAAAACAAAAACAGGGCAUGGGACUGAAGAAGGAACAGGGAAACACAUUUUCUAUUUUACAUAUGCGUCUGAAGACAACAUUCUUCAGGAUUAAGCCACCUUUUCUGUUAGGUUUUCAGUGCAUGAAUCCUCCUUUCUGGAGGAUUUUCUCCACAAUUUUUUAGGGGUUGAGGUGAAGCUGACUGGUCUGCAGUUACUGAUAUCUCCUUCUCUGUGGAUGAUUCAUCCCUCUUGGAAGAUGGGUGCAAUAUUUGUUUGUCUUGCCUUGUGCAGUGACAAUGGACAUCAGCCUUGCAGUGGCCUCUGCCAGUUCACCAUGCUGCACCCCACCUGGUUCCAUGGACUGAAGAUACACCAAGCACUCUCCCUGUUUGCCACAGGGAAAACCUAAGAAUAUCUACACUGUCAUUCAUUCCUGUAGCAGUGUUACAUUUCAGUGGCAGAGUAAACUUUGUUUUAAGUAACACAUCUUCCUUUCUGAAGGUAUCUUCCAUAUGAUUCCUUCCCUUUGUCCACUAUGUAUCCUCUCUGUCUCCUAAUGUGUCUUUGGACAAUAGAAAUUUUCCUGAUCAUCCUGUCAAAGGAGCUAGUUUGUUUCGGUUGUGAUAUUGAAUAUCACCUUCAGUGUCAGUAAUUGAAAAUCUAUUCAAAGCAUAAUAUAUCUCACAAUGGGGAUUUCUCAAGUGUCAUUCAUUGCUAGACAAUCUCUUAUUUUGAAUGCUAUAUUCUAUCCUAUUCAAAUUAGUAUCAUAGCAGAUAAGCAUAAUAUUUUAAUCCUCUAAAUAAUACUUUGCCUAUUCAUUUAAGAAAGUAUUUUUACUUCAUUUCAGAAUUAAACAAACAAACAAACAAACAAACAAGUAGUUUGGUAUGUAAAAGCAAGCAAAAAAGCUUCUUUAGUUAACCAAUAGAUAAAUUAAAUAGAAUGUUUUAUUACAGAAAAUCAUGGUGAAAAACUACCAGUAACUCAGUAGAAAAAUUAUUCCCAAAGAGGUAAUAAAUAUCACAGAAAAUAAAUCAAGCUCUUCUCUCUUUUCUCAUUUCCUUUACAUCAUACAUGGAUUUCACAUGCUAUUGCAUACACCACCUGCAUGAAAAAAAAAAAAAAACUGUAUGAAAAAUUAAACUAAUUACACCUUAUGCAGUAAUAACACUAGACUUCUCUUACCAGUACUCCAUUAAAAAAUAAUAAUAAUAAUAAUAAAACAAAACAAAACAAAUAAAUAAAAUAAAAUAAAUAAAAUAAAAUAAAUAAAAUAAAAUAAAUCUUCUUUGCAGACAACUGGAUCCAGACCACAAACACAUUUUUGUUUGUGUCCAUGAUUAUGUCAAACUGUCCAUUCUGAAAGAGUGAAGACAGCUUACUAAAACAAUUAUGUAGGUCUUACGAUACCUUUUUAUCUUUUCUCCUUCCCUCUUCUAAUUUUUAAACUCAAAUCAAGCUAGUUCAGAGGAAAAAAAAAAUAAAUAAAAGGGCUUACAUUUCUGCUGAGUCUAUAGGCUGUGGUUAGAUAUUUGAAUUCAGAUUUGGGUGCACAGUUAAGGUGAAAUCCUGACUGUAAAGAGCUAAACUGUUAUUAUAAAUUUCUUUACAUAUCUUAUGCAACAAUAAGUACAUUCUGUGCCUUAAAAAUGUUGUUAUUUCAUGACUCAGUGAUGAUAAACUUCAUUUUCUUAUGUCUACAUGUCUGUUGAACCUGCCAAGCUGCAGGGGUCAUUCAUAUUGGACAAUAUUCCAGGAUGAACUAAUAGUCUCAUGUAAAUUUUAUACUCAAAGCAGUUUUGUUGUUUUAAACUCUCUGUACUUUCUAAGAUAGAAAAACUGAGCUUUUACAAGUCUGUCAGUUUAGGAGCUUUCUACAGUACACUUUUUGGAUUAUAUGUCUGAUAUCUACCAAGUCAUCUUCAAAAUUUGAAAAUGAACUCUGUUAUCUCCAGGGUUAGAAACUAUGUAGGAAGCUGAUGGAGUAGCCCUCUGGUAUUUUCAGAAAUCACUUCUGUUUCUUGAGUAAUAGAAAUAAAAAGGCAGUAUGUACUACAAAUAAAAAGAUGUUCUAUGUGAGUGGAGAGAGAAAUGUGUAGUUUGGGUAAGGUGCUAUUAAUAGUCAUAAAAAGAUCACUCUAAAAAUCUGAUGAUCCUUUACUCUGCAGCAAAGGGCAGCCAGAAAGAUUUUGCAGUCACCUAAGAAGAGCAGUAUAAUAAGAUUGUAUUUAAAUUCAUGUACAUUAAGCUAUGUACAUGAAAUCUGUGACCUUAUAAUCCUCUAAGUAUAGGAAGAAGUCAUCCUUCUUUAUCAUCUUUGUAGCAAUGUUAAGCUUAUAGACAGUCACCAUGAAGAGUGGCAUGAAGAUACCCAUGUGUAAGAAGGACUACAGAACAGGCAGAACUGCAAAAUGACAAGAUGAAUCCUAUUUCAUGACUAUUGGGAAUUCUCAUGUAAUUUUCAUUUAGAGAAAGGGAAUGGCAAAAAGAGCUGGAGGAGGUCUGGUAAAGAGGAAGUAACAGUUCGCAUCAAUGAUGCUGAAGCCACAGAGGAGUCCAAACACUGUACAAUGAAAUUUUAUGGACUGCAGUUCUGGUUAAUGAAAUUAAAGAAGGUACCUUUCUGUUACAGGCUUAAUCUUACAUGCACAUUGCAAUCUGCUUCUUCAGCUACUGUUGAGAUGGAGUAGGAAGAAAACUAGUGUUGCCAAGAGUGACUUCAGCUCAAGGGGUCUUUGUUGGACAAGUUGAGUAGCCAAGAGUAAAGAGCAUGAUGUAACUCAGUAUUUUGACACAAUUCCUACUGGCAGAGAUGUGGCAAUGAUGUGCGUAAAAAUAAAUAAAUAAAUAAAUAAUAAUAAUAAA